rnacentral:lncRNA from 1 species
UUCUAUAUUCUUCUAUUGGAGAAUUUAUACAUAGAUGUAGUAAUUGCUAUUUUUUUAUGAAGUCCUUACUAUGUGGCAGGCACUGUGCUGACUGGUUUACGCAAACAUUCUUUACUAAUCUCACAACAAACCUGUGAUUGAUGGAAUUACUGUCCCUAUUUUACAGAUAUGGAGACCAGGACUUGGAGAGGCUAAGAAAUACCUUCAAGAUCAAAUAAGGACAGUGACAAGAUUCAUACCCAUCUGCCUGAGUCUUAAGCAUUUUGCUACUUUGAACCUAGGUCCAUCCUGCUCAUCUUUAGAGCCUCGCUGUUCUUUAUCCCCGGUAGCCAGCAGGGUACUGAGCCCUUGGAUCUCAGCCACAGACCUUGUGCUCCCAACCCAUGGGCUUCCCAGAGAGACCGCAGGUUGGCUGCCAACACCCUGAAGACAGCAAGGCUGCCCAGUCCCCCAAGGCCUGCCAAGGACAGAUUCUACCUGCAACGUGGACCCAGAGAGUCAUUCUCGAACAAAGGAACCCCAGAGGCCUGAACUUACUCAGAAUUGACUUCUGCGUCCUUCUAUUAUUGGGACUGACAUUUGAAGUCAUCAAAACGACAGUUUGCUGGAGAUUCUGAGUUCACCCCACAUGCAGAGGUAAAUUCCAGAUAAAGAGCUACGUGUCAAGAAAUAUAGAGAUGAUAUUUAAAGGUGAAAAUUCUUAUAACAUGGCAAUAGGAAAAAAUAUUUCAAUGACGAAAGUAUUCCAGAGUCAAAUAUAAGACUCAGAAGCUGGUACAGAAGGGAUUGUCAAGUCUGGCGAUAAAAUGUUAAAAGUUUGCAUGGCACAGUAAACCAAGAUAAACAGUAAGUGAAACAUUUGAUGAAAAUAUUUGCAAAAUAAAUAAUGAAGGACUAAUAACCUUAAGUUUUAA